rnacentral:hammerhead_ribozyme from 1 species
AUCCAGUUAACGAGUCCCAAAUAGGACGAAACGCGCGUUAAACUGGAU